CAGCAGCCACGGUAAUACCAGCACCUCGAGUGGUCAGGAGGUUUAUUGGGUCUGAAGCAUCCGUAGCCGGUUGCAUAAGUUUUCGGUUAAAUCUAUGCGCUUAACGUAUAGGCCGCCGAAAAUACUGUGCAGCUAGGGAGUGGGAGAGGUACACGGUACUCGAUAGGAAGGGGUAAAAUCCUUUGAUCUAUUGAUGACCACCUGUGGCGAAGGCGGUGUACCAGAACACGUUCGACGGUGAGGGAUGAAAGCUGGGGGAGCAAACCGGAUUAGAUACCCCCGUAGUCCCUGUCUCUUAUAC
rnacentral:rRNA from 1 species